GCCUGACUGGCUCAGUUGGUAGAGCAUGUGAUUCUUGGUCUCAGAGUUGUGAGUUCAAGCCCCAUGUUGGGCA
rnacentral:tRNA from 1 species